GACAAUAUUAUUCUGAUAGUAUAUUCCUAUAAAUCCUUAGUCUAGUCAAAACAAGUUGUAAUUUUGUUUUAAAAAAAUUAUAAUUGUUAACAAAUAAUUCACUCUGAAUUUUUCUUAUUUUUAUUAUUUAGGGAAAGCUUCAAAUACCCCCAUUGUGUUUCACUUUUUCUCACUUUAGUACCCUGUGGUUUAAAGUAUAUCAAGUUAGUACUCUGUCAUUUUGCACUUUCUUACUUUAGUACCCUGUGGUUUAAAGUGUAUCAAGUUAGUAACAUGUGGUUUCGCACUUUCUCACUUUAGCGCCCUGUAGUUUAAAAACCACAAGAUACUAAUUUGAUAUAAAAAUAAAACCACAGGGUACUAACUUGGUACAAAAAUAAAAUCACAGGGUACUAACUUGAUACACUUUAAACCACAGGGCACUAAAGUGAGAAAGUGCGAAACCACAGGGUACUAAACUUGAUACAUUUUAAACCACAGGGUACUAAAAUAAAAAAGUACGAAACCACAGGGGGGUUUUUGAAGUUUUUCUUAUUAUUUAUUUAUUUCUUUC
rnacentral:lncRNA from 1 species